GCGCUGCUGGAAUGUUGCUACAUAGAAAUGGAAAGUUGAAAUCAGCUCGUUUGUCGUAAAGUUUUGUUUUUAACCUACCCUCAUUGUGAAUUUCUAGAUGCAAGUCGAGAUAUGAGGCAGACGUAACUGUAAAUGUUGAAUCCUUUAUCUAGAGUUCAAUGGGAUAGAUGCGUUCAACAUAGUCACCAAAUUUUAAAUCAUUUAAUGAGAGAAC
rnacentral:lncRNA from 1 species